CGGUCUCAAAGAAGCUUUCAACACGGCACGCCAAAGUCCGACCUAUAAAGAACCGACCCCUCGCCACCCUCUCAACAACCAACCCAGCCCUCGCAUCUCCAUUGCCAACUGCAGCUGAUAAACUUCUACAAAAUCAACAUGACCAAAGACUGUUGCCAAGGAAAAUGCUCGUGUGGAACCGAAUGCAAAUGCGGACCCAACUGCGCACAAUGCCCAUCGACCACAUGCGCAUGCGCCACUGGUGGUGAAUGCAAAUGCAGCGGCAACUGCCAAUGCAAUUCCAGCUGUCCAUGCAAGUCCGCCUGCUGCAAGUAACUACAU